GAGUUUGAUCCUGGCUCAGAUUGAACGCUGGCGGCAUGCCUUACACAUGCAAGUCGAACGGCAGCAUGAUCUAGCUUGCUAGAUUGAUGGCGAGUGGCGAACGGGUGAGUAAUACAUCGGAACGUGCCCUGUAGUGGGGGAUAACUAGUCGAAAGAUUAGCUAAUACCGCAUACGACCUGAGGGUGAAAGUGAGGGACCGCAAGGCCUCAUGCUAUAGGAGCGGCCGAUGUCUGAUUAGCUAGUUGGUGGGGUAAAGGCCCACCAAGGCGACGAUCAGUAGCUGGUCUGAGAGGACGAUCAGCCACACUGGGACUGAGACACGGCCCAGACUCCUACGGGAGGCAGCAGUGGGGAAUUUUGGACAAUGGGCGAAAGCCUGAUCCAGCAAUGCCGCGUGUGUGAAGAAGGCCUCGG
rnacentral:rRNA from 1 species